GCCAGUUCCCAAGCCCGACCUCUCUGGGUGUGUGCGGCCUGCGGACCCGCGCAGCCAGCGCGUUCCGGACGCGGCGGGCAGCCGGCCGGCGCGGCGGCUCGCAGGGACUUCGUGAGACUGGGUAUCUCCAAUGCAGAAACCCUUCAGUGGCUCAUCUCUGAAGCUGCCAUAGCACAACCCUAUGGAGAGUACAUUUCACAUUGGAGGCACUGUUAACUUUAUAUUUAGUAUAAAUAUUUUCUGGCAGAUUUCAGUAAAAUGUCUCGUUCUAACAAAGUGUAUUACAACAAUUUUC